CAUACGAUCUAUGGAUGAAAGCGGGGGAUUCUUCGGAACCUCGCGCGAUUGGAGCGGCCGAUGUCGGGAUUAGCUAGUAGGUGAGGUAAAGGCUCACCUAGGCGACGAUCCGUAGCGGGUCUGAGAGGAUGAUCCGCCACACUGGGACUGAGACACGGCCCAGACUCCUACGGGAGGCAGCAGUGGGAAUUUUGGACAAUGGGCGCAAGCCUGAUCCAGCCAUGCCGCGUGAGUGAAGAAGGCCUUCGGGUUGUAAAGCUCUUUCGGCCGGGAAGAAAUCGCAUUCUCUAAUAUAGGAUGUGGAUGACGGUACCGGACUAAGAAGCCACCGGCUAACUACGUG
rnacentral:rRNA from 1 species